rnacentral:rRNA from 1 species
UACGAAGGGGGCUAGCGUUGUUCGGAAUUACUGGGCGUAAAGCGCACGUAGGCGGAUAUUUAAGUCAGGGGUGAAAUCCCAGAGCUCAACUCUGGAACUGCCUUUGAUACUGGGUAUCUCGAGUAUGGAAGAGGUGAGUGGAAUUCCGAGUGUAGAGGUGAAAUUCGUAGAUAUUCGGAGGAACACCAGUGGCGAAGGCGACACGCUGGGCCGUACCUGACACUGAUGCGCGACAGCAGUGGGGAGCAAA